GGGUCCGGGAACGCGCGCGACGCCGGCGACCUCACUCGGCCCCAGGUCACCGCCCGUGUAGCCGGCUGAGGUGGCCGCUGGGGCCCGCGUCGAGGGCGUGGUGGCUCCCGGCGGUGAAAGUCUGUCCGCCCCUGGCCGUGCUCGUUUCCCCCCCGGGGCCUCUCCCCUGGAGCGCACAGGUGAGUCUUCCCUUCGCAGGGCGGGGCCGGUUCGCGACCGCUGGGAACAGGUUUGCAGCAGCUCUAGGUGAUGGGAUCCCCAGGACCCCUGAAAGUUAAAGCCUCAGCUACAGCAGCAGCUGCCCAGACCCUCCAGGAAGCCCCUAGACGCUGCUAAGGACCAGCCGCCUGGUCCCCAGGAUCUUCCCAGCAGCUUUAGGGUGACGUCCUGCAAAACACCCUUCACCCCCAGGUCCUUUCUCCUCCACUAGCAGUUUCUCCACCAGCUAUUCGACUUUUUGAAAUCAGUCAGGCCCAACCUGCCCCCCGAGG
rnacentral:lncRNA from 1 species